rnacentral:rRNA from 1 species
GGGGGAUUAGUGGCGAACGGGUGAGUAACACGUGAGUAACCUGCCCUUAACUCUGGGAUAAGCCUGGGAAACUGGGUCUAAUACCGGAUAUGACUGAUCAUCGCAUGGUGGUUGGUGGAAAGCUUUUGCGGUUUUGGAUGGACUCGCGGCCUAUCAGCUUGUUGGUGGGGUAAUGGCCUACCAAGGCGACGACGGGUAGCCGGCCUGAGAGGGUGACCGGCCACACUGGGACUGAGACACGGCCCAGACUCCUACGGGAGGCAGCAGUGGGGAAUAUUGCACAAUGGGCGCAAGCCUGAUGCAGCGACGCCGCGUGAGGGAUGACGGCCUUCGGGUUGUAAACCUCUUUCAGUAGGGAAGAAGCGUAAGUGACGGUACCUGCAGAAGAAGCGCCGGCUAACUACGUGCCAGCAGCCGCGGUAAUACGUAGGGCGCAAGCGUUAUCCGGAAUUAUUGGGCGUAAAGAGCUCGUAGGCGGUUUGUCGCGUCUGCCGUGAAAGUCCGGGGCUCAACUCCGGAUCUGCGGUGGGUACGGGCAGACUAGAGUGAUGUAGGGGAGACUGGAAUUCCUGGUGUAGCGGUGAAAUGCGCAGAUAUCAGGAGGAACACCGAUGGCGAAGGCAGGUCUCUGGGCAUUAACUGACGCUGAGGAGCGAAAGCAUGGGGAGCGAACAGGAUUAGAUACCCUGGUAGUCCAUGCCGUAAACGUUGGGCACUAGGUGUGGGGGACAUUCCACGUUUUCCGCGCCGUAGCUAACGCAUUAAGUGCCCCGCCUGGGGAGUACGGCCGCAAGGCUAAAACUCAAAGGAAUUGACGGGGGCCCGCACAAGCGGCGGAGCAUGCGGAUUAAUUCGAUGCAACGCGAAGAACCUUACCAAGGCUUGACAUGAACCGGAAACGCCUGGAAACAAGUGCCCCACUUGUGGUCGGUUUACAGGUGGUGCAUGGGUGUCGUCAGCUCGUGUCGUGAGAUGUUUGGGUUAAGUCCCGCAACGAGCGCAACCCUCGUUCAUGUUGCAGCACGUGAAGGUGGGGACUCUAAGAGAAU